AUGACCCUGAGCACGGUGCGCUUGAUGUCGGCGAUGGCCUCGGUGUAGACGGCCGCCAGCUCGUGGAUGAGGCGGUGGUUGUGGGGCAGCAGCGCCAGGUAGAGGUACAGGCACUGCUUGAUGGUCUCCUCCGUCCACGGCGCCGCCACCUCUGGGUGCCCCCCACCAAGGGGACGUCAGCACGGCACCCCCAAAACGCGUCCCUGCUGACCCCUAUGUCCCCAUUGACCCCAAUGACCCCAUUGACCCCAAUGUGUCCCCAUUGUCUGCCAUUGAUCCCAUUGACCCCAAUGUCCCCAUUGUCCCCAUUGACCCUAUUGACCCCAUUGACCCCAAUGUCCCCAUUGUCUGCCAUUGAUCCCAUUGACCCCAAUGAUCCCCAUUGACCCCAUUGACCCCUAUGUCCCCAUUGUCUGCCAUUGUCCCCACUGACCCCAAUGUCCCCAUUGAUCCCAUUGACCCCAAUGUUCCCAUUGUCCCCAUUGACCCCAAUGUCCCCAUUGUUUGCAUUGUCCCCACUGACCCCAUUGACCCC
rnacentral:lncRNA from 1 species